CAGAAAAAUGCGGCAUCGACGAAGACACGCCCACUGCGGUCCAUCGCCAUUGUUGUGCUCCUUUUUGUACUGUCCACGGUCCUGAAACGCAGUAAUGACUCAUGGGUGCAUUCGACGGCCACUGCAUUAGCGUGAAGUCCAAGGUCACGGAACAAAUAUGUGAAAGGCAGAGAGGCUUCCCCGGCUUGACGGCGAGCGUGGGUGCCCGCAUCACCAGUGGGCGGGGCUACGCGUGGAAGGGAAUCACGACCAUAUAAGGACAAUUCCUGCCUGUGAGUGUGGAUGUGAUAGAGGUGGGUGUUGGUGGUGUUGGUGGGGUGUCGUGACACCAAAAUGAAACACCUGAGUCUGCAAGUGUGAGAUAUGGAUGAGUCACAGCAGCGGCAGAGUUAACCACCCACCAAACAAGCUAAAACCACCUGGCCUGGAGCAUCCACGUACUCUAUAUCAGGUGUAGCUCUCCUCCCCCAUAGUUGACAAGUAUCACUUCGAGAUUUCUGUACCUUUAGUUUAUUCUCAAGCCAUCCACCCCGAGAUCGUUCAAGCCGAUAGCUAUCAAUAUUCGAACUAUCUUGCCAUAGUAAACCUUUUCAUCUCAAUCUUUUCAAGAGUCGUCUAUUCUGCAACUCUCUCUUCUUGAUCUCUCUAUUUUGUAUUUAUUCUAGAGCUAUUUCCCGACCCAGCCUCGAGAUGGCCUCCAUCUGUCUGUUCUAUUCAUGCAUACAUUCUCAAGCUAUGUUUCGACCCUGGAUCACUAUGUCCUUGAUAUUUGUAUUCCAGAGCUAUGAAUUAUAGAUUUUGCAAUCUUAAAUCUAGUCCCGAGCUGUUCUAGAUUGACCAAAUUCUGAUUUACUAUUCUGGAUUUAGCUGUCUGUACUCUCGUUCUACCAUCUGUUCUAGAUCAUCGACCAUCUAUGAUAAAUCGCCUAUAGGUAUUUUCAUUCAUUCAUUCAUUCAUUCAUUUUCCAAUCUGCUUAUUCUUACAAGGGUCG